CGGGCUGCUGGCGGAAGAGGUGUCCCGUCAGCUCCACACUUUUGGGCUCUGAGCUCUCCCCACCCUCUGGUUGCCAGGUCCUACUUACUGCUGCUGUCAGUGGGCGGCUCCAGCUCCUCGAUGUACUCCCGCUUCCUCUGCAGCUCCAGAUCUGCCUCAUGAAGCUUCUGCCUGUGGACCACGGAUGGGCAACAGUGGGUUGACCUCUGAGCUGGCUUCUCUUUCAUCCCAGUGGUAGCCCAGCCAGAAAUGCCCCUACAUGGCCACAGAGACCUAUCUGCCUGUCCCCCAUGCCUGGGGGCUGUGUGCCCUGGUCCCACCAUCUCCUCAGCCAGAGCCACAACCUUCCCUGCACCUUCAGCAGGUGUCCCUGGAACAGCCCUCUGCUGCCCACUUCUUCCCAUCCCAUAGCUCCCGAGUUGGUCCAGCCACCAUUUUCCCUUGCUAGCCUCUUCUACCCUGAACCCCUCCAUCCAGCAGCCAGAGACCUUCUAGAACACAAAUCUCUUCACCAGCAGACAGGUAAAAGAAAAAAAAGGCAGCUGGGCACCAUGGUUCACACCUGUAAUCACAGCACUUUGGGAAACCGAGGCAGGCAGAUCACGAGGUCAACAGAUCGAGACCAUCCUGGCCAACAUGGUGAAACCCUGUCUCUACUAAAAAUACAAAAAUUAGCUGAGUGUGCUGGUGUGUGCCUGUAGUUCCAGCUACUUGGGAGGCUGAGGCAGGAGAAUUGCCUGAACUCCAGAGGGGGAGGUCGAAGUGAGCUGAGAUGGCACCACUGCACUCCAGCCUGAUGACAGAGUGAGACUCUGUUAAAAAAAAAAAAAGAAGAAGAAGAAGGCUGGGUCUGGUGGCUCAUGCCUGUAAUCCCAGCACUUUGGGAGGCCAAAGGGGGUGGAUCACCUGAGGUCAGGAGUUUGAGAACAGCCUGGCCGAUGUGGUGAAACCCCAUCUCUACUAAAAAUAUAAAACAUUAGCCAGGUAUGGUGGCACACGCCUAAGAAACUCCCCACUAAUGUCGAAUCCAUGCCCCCACCAGGAACGCCCUCUUUCUGCAACUUACAGAUGCUCCUCCAGCUUCCUUUUCAGCAAGAUGGACUGGGGGAGAGAAGAGGCAAGGGUCCCCGGGCUCUCACCGGUGCUGCGUCUCCAACCCGUGGCGUGCGCGGUUGGCCUCCUCCAGGUGGCGCUGCAGCUCCUCCUGCCGCUCCCGGUCGGCCGCCUCCUGCCGGCACAGCCGCUUGUUCUCCAGCUGAAGCCGCAGGAGCGUCUCCCUGCAGACCCGGGAGGAGAGAGGAGCGCCAGGGACAAGUCACUCCGCAGGCCCACUGGGGCUCCGUGCGGGUGGAGCUAGGGGCGGGACAGAGCCCUGGGGAAGAGCCCAGCCAGACCAUGGGAGACAGGGUCUCGCUCUGUUGCCCUGACUGAUCUCGAACUCCUGGCCUCAAGUGAUCCUCCCACUUCAGCCUCCCAACGCACUGGCAUAACAGGUGUGAGCCCCUGCACUCAGCCAGCUGUGAAUGUUAAUGGUAAGAACCCAUACAACCAUUCUGUUUUUCAAUGUCGAUGAAUUACGGUCUCCAAUAAACUGCAUAUAGUCGAUUCCUUAUUAUAAAACAGGUUUUGUGGUAGAUGAUUUUGCCAAAGUAGGCUAAGACAAGUUUUCUGAGCAUCUUUAGGGUAGGCUAGGCUAAGCUGUGAUGUUCCGUAGGCAAGGUAUAUGCAAUGGAUUUUCUUUUUUCUUAUUUUUUAAAAAAGAUGGGGUCUUGCUAUGUUGACCAGGCUUAUUCUCGAACUCCUAGCCUCAAGUUAUCUCCCAUCUCAG